ACCUGGCUGGCUCAGUCGGUGGAGCAUGUGACUCUUGAUCUCGGAUCAUGGGUUUGAGCCCCAUGUUGGGGG
rnacentral:tRNA from 1 species